rnacentral:rRNA from 1 species
UGAGGAAUACUGGUCAAUGGGCGCAAGCCUGAACCAGCCAUCCCGCGUGCAGGAAGACGGCCCUAUGGGUUGUAAACUGCUUUUCCAGGGGGAGAAUUUUUCUGUCGUGACAGGAAUUGACGGUACCCUGGGAAUAAGCAUCGGCUAACUCCGUGCCAGCAGCCGCGGUAAUACGGAGGAUGCGAGCGUUAUCCGAAUUUUUGGGGUUUAAGGGGUGCGUAGGGGGGUGAUUAGGUAAGUGGUGAAAACCUGAAGCUAAACGGUAGACUUGCCGUUGAUACUGUCAGUCUUGAGUAUGGUCAAGGAAGGCGGAAUGGGUAAUGUAGCGGUGAAAUGCUUAGAUAUUA